GAAAGUGAAAGGGGGGCGUCCCGGGGCUUCCUUCACGGGGGCCCCGGUCGGCGCCUUCCGGGGCCGAUCCUCGACAGACCGUCGCCGCCGGUGUCUCUUCCCACACCAAAGCGGGGCCAAGACGGGAGCGGUGCGGGGUGAGACCCUUUCCCCCGUCGUCCGACUCCCGGCCCCGUGGGUACCCGGCGAGCGCGGCAGUCCGGUGGUCCCUCCCCUCUCGGGGGGAGGUGGCCUCCGCCUGUACGCAGGGGGGCGCAGGCCCGGGACUUGCCAUGAGACGCCGUCGCGCAAAUCUGUUGUUGGCCUCGCCGGCUCUGCUUGGGCUCUCGGUUGGCGGGCCGCGCGUCAGGCGGGCUUUA
rnacentral:rRNA from 1 species